UGAGCAGGACAAGUGAUCGCGGCUGCAGAAACGAAAGGCUGCAGGUGAGGAAAGUCCGGGCUUCAUAGGGCAGGAUGCCGGAUAACGUCCGGUGGAGGUGACUCCCAGGAAAGUGCAACAGAAAAUAACCGCCCGCAAGGGUAAGGGUGAAAAGGCAGUGUAAGAGACUACCGCUUGUCUGGUAACAGAGAAGGCUGUGUAAACCCCAUCCGAAGCAAGACCGAACAGAAAGCAUACGGUUGCCCGCCGGCUUUCGGGUAGGUCGCUUGAGCCUGGUGGCAACAUCAGGACUAGAUAGAUGAUCACUCCAGACAUAACCCGGCUUAUCGUUCUGGUCAAACC
rfam:Clostridiales bacterium 41_12_two_minus Ley3_66761_scaffold_1637, whole genome shotgun sequence.